rnacentral:rRNA from 1 species
UGAGUAACACGUGGGUGAUCUGCCCUGCACUUUGGGAUAAGCCUGGGAAACUGGGUCUAAUACCGAAUAGGAUCAUGGCCUUCAUGGGUUGUGGUGGAAAGCUUUUGCGGUGUGGGAUGGGCCCGCGGCCUAUCAGCUUGUUGGUGGGGUAAUGGCCUACCAAGGCGACGACGGGUAGCCGGCCUGAGAGGGUGACCGGCCACACUGGGACUGAGAUACGGCCCAGACUCCUACGGGAGGCAGCAGUGGGGAAUAUUGCACAAUGGGCGCAAGCCUGAUGCAGCGACGCCGCGUGAGGGAUGACGGCCUUCGGGUUGUAAACCUCUUUCAGCAGGGACGAAGCGCAAGUGACGGUACCUGUAGAAGAAGGACCGGCCAACUACGUGCCAGCAGCCGCGGUAAUACGUAGGGUCCGAGCGUUGUCCGGAAUUACUGGGCGUAAAGAGCUCGUAGGUGGUUUGUCG